rnacentral:snRNA from 1 species
GAUAUUGGGGCCAUCUGGCUGGGACAUCUGUCACCUAUUGAUGGACAGCAUUGAUUUGGCUGACCUGGCUGGCUCAGCAGGUGUCCCCUUCCACCCUGAAGCUC